AUGGACCUGAACCUACUGACCUCUACUCACCUGCCUCCUUUCAUCCCUUCCAGGUUUGCAGUAAGCAUUGGCUACUGGCAAGACCCUCACAUCCAGCAUUUUGCAAGACUGUCUAAGGAGAGAAGGCUCCCGAAAUUAACAGAGGUUAUUUUGCUCGAGUCCAUGGCGUCAGUCAGCUUAUCAAGGCAUUUCUACGGAAGACAGAAUGUCACUGUCAGAUUCCUAAUCUUGGGGCUGGCGUGGAUAGCACCUUCUGGAGAUUAAAGGUAAAUUAAAACUCCCCUUCUUAUUUGCCAAAUUGUUUUGUUUUGUGAAGGUGCCUGCGUGGCUCAGGAAUGUUAAAAAUAUAUUCAGAGGGAAUCCAGUGACCAGGGCUGCCUGUCUCUCGCUCCAUCACCAGCUGCUUGCAGCUGCUGCCACCAUCAGCCGCCUACGUGAUGUCUCUAGGGCCAUAGUGGAGGAUGUGCGCCUUGCUUGUCAUUCUUUGGUGUUAGAAACAGGGCUUAUGAUCACACUCCUCCUAUACAUUUCGUGUGCACGUGUGGAAGAACCCUGCCUGUGGAAUUGCUGAGACUGACAGCCCAUGCAUUGGCCAUCUUGACAGUAACUGAGAUUUUAUUGUCAUCAAGACAGUGUGUUCGGUACAGUUUGGAGAUGAGCGAGGCUGGGUGAAGGUACUAUGACAGAAAGCCCUUUUGUAGCUAUUCCCUGAUGUGAUCCCCCACCUGCUGUGUUAGGGAUCAAGAACAGGUAUCAUUACACUCACUCACAGGAAAGGGGACGGUCCCAUUAGUGGCAGAACCAGGACCGAGCACUGGUCUUUGAUUCCCGGCUAGAAUCAUAGCUGCCCACCUUUUCCCUCUGACACCUUCACCGAUUGCACCUGCCUUUUUGUAGGUUCGUACGGAUUUUUCUCAGUUCUUCUAUCAGGUCCGUCACGUGGCAGUGAUGGGUACGUGCGUUUCCCCAGGUUUCUUGCAGGCGUACACCAAGAAAAAUCAGUGUGUGGGCCUAACAGCACCCGCAUAGGCAUUUUGUCCCUAAUCAGUUCACCUGAUAAGGAAGUCUUUGGUCGUGAGUGCGCCCGACCUUUCUGCUAUUCAGGCGAGAACCCAGCAGCCUCAGCACAGCCGGAGUAUUCAUUGUUUGCCUCUGCACUAUUCAUUCAGGAUAAGAUAGCUAACAUUUAUGAAGUGCUUGCACAUACGCGACCUCAUGAAUUAACGUGAGAGCUCUGGGGUGGAAGGGUUAGAGAUCGGGAAAGGGGGUGCUGCAGGAGCCUGUGUCUUCCCCAGAUUGGGCGGCCAGUGGUGUUGAUGCCUGGAACAAACUGUGGACUACAGCUCCGCCACGUCCAGGCUCGGCUCCUGUUCUCUGCACGGAGCCCUGUGGUUGUUCGGUGGGGAGUCUUUGCCGUUCGUGGGGCAGUGGUGCCUGUGUACCUCAGAGACCAUGCUGUGGGGGAAGGAACUGGGACAAAGCACAGUGGCAGAAUGUGGACCGUGGUAACAGAAGCCACUGGAGAAACGCCUCCUUCGGGCCUGACACCCUUUUGACCUGAUCUCGUGAUUUGGUUUCUCCCCCUCUGUCAUGUAGGUGUGUUAGUAAUUAAUAAAUCUGAGAGUUUUAUUUCUAAGCAAGGUACGCUGAGACUAGGUACCCCUUCCAAGAAAAAGGUUCUCUGUCAGGAGUGAGGGAGGUGAAUAACACAGGGAGGGUCUGGAAGAUUUUGCGAAUUUUUUGUUUUGUUUGAUAAGUAUAUUGGUCCAAAGAAUUUUUAACAAGUCAAAGUUUGUGGGUUUUUUGUUUUUGAAAUUGUAUUUAUUUAUUCAUGAGAGACACAGGGAGAGGGAGAGAGACAGGGUCCCUGCAGGAACCUGAUGCAGGACUCGAUCCCAGGACCCUGGGAUCAUGCCCUGAGCCAAAGCCUGAUGCUCAACCACUGAGCCACCCAGGUGCCCCAAAUCUAGGUUUCUUGGGGAAAAAAACAUCCUGUUUGCUCUUUGGAGCCCAAGCCCAGUGGGCCAUAUUUAGCUUACAACCUAUUUUUGUAAGUAAAGCUUUAUUGGAAGACAGCUGCUGCCAUUGACCUACAUCUUCUCUAUCGCUGCUUUACUACCACGACAGCCGGGUUGAGUAGGUCAGACGGAAGCCGUCUGGCCGGCAAGGACUGAAAUACUUUCUGGCCCUUUACAGCAAGUUUGCUGAGCCCUGUGUUGAGAUACAUGUACUUCUGUAACAGAGUGGGGAAAAUCGCAUCUGCCAGUCUUGUUGUCUCAUGCACCUUCCACCUCGGAUGGUCCCCUGGCGGCACCAGCAGGGGCUUAGCUGCGGGUCACAGGCUUUUUGCUGCCACAGUCGUGGGAGCUCGUCCUAUAAGAUCUCAGGGGCCCUAGACUGUUGGGGCAGUUGAAGUCUCCCACCUUAAGGCAGUGGACCCUAGUAGGACCCAGGAAAGCUGGCACUGCCACAAGCAGAAUCAAGGCGGACUGAACCCCUUUGAGGGACCUCGGUUUCUUGGUGUCUCCUGAAUUCUGCUUCCACACAACC
rnacentral:lncRNA from 1 species